rnacentral:misc_RNA from 1 species
CUGGAAAUAUUCAAGGUUGUAGCUGGCCUUCCGGGGCAUGUGCUCGCCUUGUUUCAAAUCCAUCUUACACCUGUGCACACUCUGUAGUCCUUGGGUUUCUUUUGGGGUCACACCCGGAGAGAUUCUAGUUCUACGUAUUUACACAUACACUUUAAAAGUUUAGAAUGUAUUACUUGUGAUAAAACACAUUUAAAAA